UACGAAGGGGGCUAGCGUUGUUCGGAUUUACUGGGCGUAAAGCGCACGUAGGCGGAUCGUUAAGUCGGGGGUGAAAUCCUGGAGCUCAACUCCAGAACUGCCUUCGAUACUGGCGAUCUUGAGUCCGGAAGAGGUGAGUGGAACUCCUAGUGUAGAGGUGGAAUUCGUAGAUAUUAGGAAGAACACCAGUGGCGAAGGCGGCUCGCUGGUCCGGUACUGACGCUGAGGUGCGAAAGUGUGGGGAGCGAACAGG
rnacentral:rRNA from 1 species